rnacentral:rRNA from 1 species
UACGAAGGGGGCUAGCGUUGUUCGGAGUUACUGGGCGUAAAGGGCGCGUAGGCGGCGCACCAAGUCAGGCGUGAAAGCCCUGGGCUCAACCCGGGAAUUGCGCUUGAGACUGGUGUGCUCGAGUACGGGAGAGGAUAGUGGAAUUCCCAGUGUAGAGGUGAAAUUCGUAGAUAUUGGGAAGAACACCAGUGGCGAAGGCGGCUCACUGGUCCGGUACUGACGCUGAGGUGCGAAAGCGUGGGGAGCAAACAGG